rnacentral:rRNA from 1 species
CCUACGUGUGGCUGCAGUGGGGAAUAUUGGACAAUGGGGGCAACCCUGAUCCAGCCAUGCCGCGUGUGUGAAGAAGGCCCUCGGGUUGUAAAGCACUUUCAGUGAGGAAGAACGCCUGGUGGUUAAUACCCAUCAGGAAAGACAUCACUCACAGAAGAAGCACCGGCUAACUCCGUGCCAGCAGCCGCGGUAAUACGGAGGGUGCGAGCGUUAAUCGGAAUUACUGGGCGUAAAGCGCGCGUAGGUGGCUUGAUAAGCCGGUUGUGAAAGCCCCGGGCUCAACCUGGGAACGGCAUCCGGAACUGUCAAGCUAGAGUGCAGGAGAGGAAGGUAGAAUUCCCGGUGUAGCGGUGAAAUGCGUAGAGAUCGGGAGGAAUACCAGUGGCGAAGGCGGCCUUCUGGACUGACACUGACACUGAGGUGCGAAAGCGUGGGUAGCAAACAGGAUUAGAUACCCUUGUAGUC